UUCGUAGAACUCCGGCGACGGCGCAUGCGCAGAUGCUCCCAAGUCGAGAAGGGUGGUUGAGGAGGGGGGGGGGAGUCCCACAAACACCCGGAGCGUCACCGAGGAGGUCUUUUAUCUUUCGCCUCCAUCGUCCUCGUCAACAUGUCGGCGGCCAGCGACUUUGGGAACCCUCUACGGAAAUUCAAACUGGUCUUCCUGGGGGAGCAGAGUGUUGGGAAGACGUCGCUGAUCACACGCUUCAUGUAUGACAGCUUUGACAACACCUACCAGGCAACCAUCGGGAUUGACUUCCUGUCGAAAACGAUGUACCUGGAAGACCGAACGGUGAGGCUGCAGCUGUGGGACACGGCGGGACAAGAGCGCUUCAGGAGCCUGAUCCCGAGCUACAUACGAGACUCCACCGUGGCCGUGGUGGUCUACGACAUCACAAACGUGAACUCCUUCCAGCAGACGUCCAAGUGGAUCGAAGACGUGAGAACAGAGAGAGGAAAUGAUGUCAUCAUCAUGCUGGUGGGCAAUAAAACAGACCUGGCAGAUAAGAGGCACAUCACCAUUGAGGAAGGCGAGCAGCGGGCUAAAGAGCUGAGCGUCAUGUUCAUAGAGACCAGCGCCAAGACAGGUUUCAACGUCAAACAGUUGUUUCGCCGCGUGGCCGCCGCUCUCCCCGGGAUGGAAAGUAUGCAGGAGAGCAGCAAAGAAGGAAUGAUCGACAUCAAGUUGGACAAACCGCAGGAGCCGCAGACGAGCGAGGCGGGCUGCUCGUGUUAAUCGUGGCCACGUCCGCUUCCACCUCCCCCCGUGCUUCUUACAUCUUCACUUCCUUUUGGUUUGAAGGCCUCCUCCUGGUCCCCGACUGCUGGUCAGUGUUGACAGAGAAAGCAAUGUGACCGUGAAGCUGCCAAAAAGAGUCCAAACACCACGAUGAUGAUCUAACUGGCCAGAUCCCCCGCUUUGUUUUUGUAUUUUUGAUAAUGUUGUUUGAGAUCCAGGAUGACCCCGCCUCCCUUGUUAGCGUCCUGGGAAGUCCACCACUCAGCCUUUUAGAUCAAGUAUCCAUGCAUGCUUCUGUCUGUGUCAGGUUCAGCUGCUGCUCCUGGUCCUGACGGUGGUCCUGAUCCUCCAGGCCGCAUGAUCCAACAUAGGGCUGUCCCACGUGCGGCCCGCAGCUUAUUGUGGGGAAAACAGUAAACAUAGGUCCAGGGAGCCACGAGGGCGGUGCUAAAGAGACGCGGGUUGCUGACCCCCCGCCUACACCCGAGACUGGCCGCCAGUUCAUCACAGGACACAUGAACAAGCCUUCGCCCUCAAAUCAGAGAAAAACAACAACACCAGAAAUGUGUCCCGUGAAAAACCGUCCGACCAGAACUCUAAUAACUAAAGUUCCUUGGGUGAAUAAUGGUAACUCACUACACCGGUAUGUUUUAGGGCUUUCAUGGCGAGUUUACUGACUGAAAUAAGUAAUAACUUUACACUGCUUUUUAUUAGAAAUGGCAACAGCAGAGGAUGGAUGUCCCAUAACAAGAAGGUGGAGAAAAAGAAGAAGCUUAUCGACUACGGUGUCGGCACGGACUACAAAGGCGGACCUGCACAAAUUUUCAGGUACCAGAAGGUAAGAAAAGUUUCUUUUGCAUAAUAUUGCGAAACAAAACACCAGAAAAUAUGUCUUACCUUAUACACACACCAUAAUAAUACUCCUAUGUUGAAGCACAGUACAAUCCAUCAAGCGGUGCAGUUUCAUAGCUGACCAAAGUCCUACUAAAACAUUUUGAUAGAUUUUUGAGCGCCGUGUGUAAUGUUCUA